GACGAACGCUGGCGGCGUGCUUAACACAUGCAAGUCGAGCGAUGAAGCUCCUUCGGGAGUGGAUUAGCGGCGGACGGGUGAGUAACACGUGGGUAACCUGCCUCAUAGAGGGGAAUAGCCUUCCGAAAGGAAGAUUAAUACCGCAUAAGAUUGUAGCUUCGCAUGAAGCAGCAAUUAAAGGAGCAAUCCGCUAUGAGAUGGACCCGCGUCGCAUUAGCUAGUUGGUGAGGUAACGGCUCACCAAGGCGACGAUGCGUAGCCGACCUGAGAGGGUGAUCGGCCACAUUGGGACUGAGACACAGCCCAGACUCCUACGGGAGGCAGCAGUGGGGAAUAUUGCACAAUGGGGGAAACCCUGAUGCAGCAACGCCGCGUGAGUGAUGACGGUCUUCGGAUUGUAAAACUCUGUCUUCAGGGACGAUAAUGACGGUACCUGAGGAGGAAGCCACGGCUAACUACGUGCCAGCCGCCGCGGUAAAAC
rnacentral:rRNA from 1 species